UACGUGGGGUCCGAGCGUUGUCCGGAAUUACUGGGCGUAAAGAGCUCGUAGGUGGUUUGUCGCGUUGUUCGUGAAAACUCACAGCUCAACUGUGGGCGUGCGGGCGAUACGGGCAGACUAGAGUACUGCAGGGGAGACUGGAAUUCCUGGUGUAGCGGUGGAAUGCGCAGAUAUCAGGAGGAACACCGGUGGCGAAGGCGGGUCUCUGGGCAGUAACUGACGCUGAGGAGCGAAAGCGUGGGGAGCGAACAGG
rnacentral:rRNA from 1 species